rnacentral:tRNA from 1 species
CGGGGUGUAGCGCAGUCUGGUAGCGCACCUGCUUUGGGAGCAGGGGGCCGGAGGUUCGAAUCCUCUCACCCCGA